rnacentral:rRNA from 1 species
GACGAACGCUGGCGGCGUGCUUAACACAUGCAAGUCGAACGGAAAGGCCCUGCUUUUGUGGGGUGCUCGAGUGGCGAACGGGUGAGUAACACGUGAGUAACCUGCCCUUGACUUUGGGAUAACUUCAGGAAACUGGGGCUAAUACCGGAUAGGAGCUCCUGCUGCAUGGUGGGGGUUGGAAAGUUUCGGCGGUUGGGGAUGGACUCGCGGCUUAUCAGCUUGUUGGUGGGGUAGUGGCUUACCAAGGCUUUGACGGGUAGCCGGCCUGAGAGGGUGACCGGCCACAUUGGGACUGAGAUACGGCCCAGACUCCUACGGGAGGCAGCAGUGGGGAAUAUUGCACAAUGGGCGGAAGCCUGAUGCAGCAACGCCGCGUGCGGGAUGACGGCCAUCGGGUUGUAAACCGCUUUCGCCUGUGACGAAGCGUGAGUGACGGUAAUGGGUAAAGAAGCACCGGCUAACUACGUGCCAGCAGCCGCGGUGAUACGUAGGGUGCGAGCGUUGUCCGGAUUUAUUGGGCGUAAAGGGCUCGUAGGUGGUUGAUCGCGUCGGAAGUGUAAUCUUGGGGCUUAACCCUGAGCGUGCUUUCGAUACGGGUUGACUUGAGGAAGGUAGGGGAGAAUGGAAUUCCUGGUGGAGCGGUGGAAUGCGCAGAUAUCAGGAGGAACACCAGUGGCGAAGGCGGUUCUCUGGGCCUUUCCUGACGCUGAGGAGCGAAAGCGUGGGGAGCGAACAGGCUUAGAUACCCUGGUAGUCCACGCUGUAAACGGUGGGUACUAGGUGUGGGGUCCAUUCCACGGGUUCCGUGCCGUAGCUAACGCUUUAAGUACCCCGCCUGGGGAGUACGGCCGCAAGGCUAAAACUCAAAGGAAUUGACGGGGCCCCGCACAAGCGGCGGAGCAUGCGGAUUAAUUCGAUGCAACGCGUAGAACCUUACCUGGGUUUGACAUGGAUCGGGAGUGCGCAGAGAUGGGUGUGCCUCUUUUGGGGUCGGUUCACAGGUGGUGCAUGGCUGUCGUCAGCUCGUGUCGUGAGAUGUUGGGUUAAGUCCCGCAACGAGCGCAACCCUUGUUCACUGUUGCCAGCACGUUAUGGUGGGGACUCAGUGGAGACCGCCGGGGUCAACUCGGAGGAAGGUGGGGAUGACGUCAAGUCAUCAUGCCCCUUAUGUCCAGGGCUUCACGCAUGCUACAAUGGCUGGUACAGAGAGUGGCGAGCCUGUGAGGGUGAGCGAAUCUCGGAAAGCCGGUCUCAGUUCGGAUUGGGGUCUGCAACUCGACCUCAUGAAGUCGGAGUCGCUAGUAAUCGCAGAUCAGCAACGCUGCGGUGAAUACGUUCCCGGG